GGAGAGGAGAGGGAGAGGAGAGGGAGAGGAGAGAAAGGGCUGUAAAGCAUUUAUUUGGCUCCAAAGGCAAUGCCGCACCAGAGGCAGCGAGGAUGGGAGGAAUGGGUGAGGGGGGUUGGGGUUAAAGGAAAAGAACCACAUCACUUUGUGUGUGGGGAGAAGUCCCAGCUUCACUGAACUAUUGCAAUUUCCAUAGUGAAGUGAAAUCAGAAUCCACGCGCGGGUUUCACAGCGCAUUUCUGCCUCUCCCUGGGAUUGGAAGGCUCAGCCCCUCAAGAUCAUAGAGUUCAACUGUUCCCCACCCCGGCACUGCCCCGUGUCCUGAGAACCUCAUGUCCGUCUGUCCAGCCCUCCAGGGAUGGUGACUCCAGUUGCAGGGCAGAUUUCAGCCUCAGAAGGGGCCUUUGAAAGCAAAACUCUUUGAAAGCUGCUGUGGGAGGGAUCUGAAGUUGUAGCCGAUGAGCAUCCCUCCCCUUCUAUACCCGCUGCGUGUUUUUGCAGUCGCAAGACAAGGGCAGGCUCCGUGCAAAGCCCCAGCAGCAUGACGGUUCUACGGCAAAACGGGACUUGUCCCGCUCGGCAGCGCCGAUGCCCGGGGCAGAAAUCCUCCAGAUGUUAUCGUCUCCAGGUGCCGCAGAUCCCACACUCUGACAAGUAAAAUAAAAACCACUGGGGAAUCUGCUGCUCGGGCAAAAUCCUGACGCUGAGCUCGGUCCUUGGCGCUCCGCGCAGCCCAGCCGUGCAUCGCCCACCCGGCUCGGCACACGAUCUUCACCUUGGGACCAAAAGAGAUGAUGUUUUCCUCAAAAAAAGGUCACAUACUGAUCUCAGUGCACUCAAACGCCCCGCCACUAAUCAGACCUGCCUCCGUCACAUCGGAGCACAAACCGUUCAGCAAACAGACGAUAUCGCAGCUCGCCAGCGAUCCGGCAAACUGGAGCAAUGUCCUACGCUGACGAUUUAUCUGGAAAAACAACGGAUAUCAGGAGAGGAAGGGAGAGGCCGUUUGGUGAGGGAGGAUCGAGUGGUUCGAACAAUCGGGGCUCUGUGAGAGCAGCGCCAGAGGUGCCUACGAGAGAUUUUCGGGCUGGUUCCUUCCCCGUGCUGCACGUCUGGAGGGCGGCGAGAGCGGCAGGAGACGGGCGGCGAGCAGACAGCAGCCACGGGAAGGCAGAAGUCUUGCCCUUGAGAGCUGCGUCCACGUGUAGGUCUGCACGGGAGCCUGAUUUCUUGCACCAACAAUGACCACAAACAACAAAAUUAAGCCAGAAAAGGAAUAAAGUAGCUGCUGUCUCUCCCAGAGCUGUAAGAGGCCUGAGAACCAGUGUAAAUAGAUCCCCAAAAAGAUAAUAUCAUAGCCCAAAGGUGAGGGAAGAGCAAGAUUAGACACCUGUGUGACACAUUUCAUAGUUGUCUCUGUCCUCUUCGCUUCCCUGGCACAUGAAAACCAGAGAGGGGAGGAAAACCCAGGACGCGGGUGCGCUGUGGAGCAGACACCCCCGCUUCGGUCUUGCACAAACAAAACCUGGGGCUUUCCCCACCAAAACCAGCUGCAAAAUUGAACGUAGCUGAGCCAUUCAGCUCAUGAAUUGCUGAAUUGCCCAGAAUCACAGAAUCAUUUUGGUUGCAAAAGCCCCUCAAGAUCAUGGAGUUCAACCGUUCCCCACCCCUGUCCCUGCCCCGUGUCCUGAGAACAUGUCCGUCUGUCCAGCCCUCCAGGGCUGGUGACUCCAGCACUGCCCUGGGCAGCCUGUUCCAACACCCACAGCCCUUUGGGGAAGAAAUUGUUCCCACAUCCAACCUCAACCUCCCCUGGCGCAACUUGAGGCCGUUUCCUUUCAUCCUGUCGCUUGUUAUUUGGGAGCACAGACCAACACCCUCCAGACUCUCCAUCCAGGCGCACCGUGCCGUGGGGAGCGGCUGGUGAUCCAAGCACCUGCCUGACAGGAGACCGCGCUGGUUACGGGGUCAGCAGAGCCCAAACCGCAUUCACAGUCUGGAUUUGCCCGUUCCCGUGAUGUUUAGUCCCAAAAGCAGCGCUGGAAGAUGGAGCCGGCAGCCAGACCCUGACUCUGAGCAGCACACGACACCACGAGCGCCCAACGCUGGUGAGUGGUGACACCUCUGGGUGUCCUGGGUUCUCCCUGCCCGGUGCCAGGGCAGGAUGCUCCGGGCAGAGAAUUUGCGCUGAAUUUAUCCCGUGACGGGCUUUUCAUCCCUUUUCACCAGGAGGUUUUAAUCAUAACCCCGUUUAAAUGGUGGGGUUGGGUGGUUGCUUCUCAUUUUUCCCACUAGAGCAAAGCGCUGGUUCCACCUUGAGCUCCUCGGGAGGGAGACGGGCUGUUUCCAGGAUAAAUCCUUUUGUCUUCCUUAAAAAUUGGGGGGGUUGUCCCCAUGUGCCAAAUCAAAGCGAGAAAACAAAAAGGAUGUGACAGGGUCAGAAUGGCUCCUGUCAUUUCCAAAAUUAAAUAUUUAGGUUUUUGCUGCAAAAUAACGUAUCAUUUAGGAUCAGCUGCUUCAGUGGAUUUUUCUUUUAGAAGCAGCAGCCCACAAAAAUAAAAUAAAGAUGGAUAAACAUUUCGUUUCACCCCAGACGAACCAGCCUUUACUCCACCUGCAGCGGAGUGAGGUGGGUGCAUCCUACUCACCAAAAACCAGCAGGGGAAUGCGAUUUUCACCAGCCGAUUCCACCCCAAUUUCAGAGGAUACAUAACCAAGCGCCCGUGCGCCUCGCUCCCCAGCGAAAUAAAACACAACGCUUUCCAAAUCGGCAUCCGCACAGCGCAUUGUCCCCAACAUUGGGGGCCGCCCCACAGCAGGUUUGGGGAUAUUUAGCCCCGUAGUGCCAUCUGCUGGCAAUGGGCCCCCCCUGACACCCCCACUUUGCUGCCCAAACCCAUUGAAUGUCCCCCAAACAGUCCCCAUAGCACCCACAGACAUUUCUGUCCCCUCACACCUGCGCUCUGCAGGUCAAACGGCCAGGAUGAGGUUUUAAGGCAGUUUUUUACAGCAGUUUAAAGCGGUUUUAAAGCAGUUGGAGCCCUUUUAGGAGAAAGGACAAUACCUCCCGAUGUUUCCCCGCGCUCGAUAACUCCCCAAAAAGCCCGUGGCAGCCGCUGGCAACGGAAACUUGGCAAAUUUAAUACUGAUACAGGACAAUUUUCCUUUAUACAGCAAAAAUUAACCCAUGGUUGUCACCGGGAUAGCGGGAGAGCCAGGAGCCUACCGGGAUUUCAUACACAUGUAUAGGGGGAUAACAGGCAGAUAAAACCCAGCAGGGACUGGAGUAGCUCCUGCCUCAGGGUUCAGCCGCAUUCACUGUAAUUCGGGGUUAUUUUUUCUUAAUAAAAAUUAUAAAAAGCUUUACUCCAAGGGUUGUUGCACUCAGACAGCAAAGGUGACCCUGGUUCGCCUUGUGCACCCCGAGUUUUUAAAGUUUUAUUAUUGUUUUGCAUUGUGGCGGAGGGAGCACCUGUUUUUCUGACCGUCACCCCACCAACCCUCCUUUUUGGGUCUGGUUCAGCUCUCUGGGGAGCUGGCAGGCACUUUGGGAGCCCUGAAAAAAUAUACGGGUGUACCCAGAGAAACGGGUGCACCCCGGGAAUACCGGUGCCACCCCUGUGCCGGGGGGGUCGGCUCAUGCCGCUCUCGGCCGCAGCCCCGAGCGGAGGCCGUGCCCGCCCGCCACGCCUCGGUGUACCACACAAAAAUUUAAAACUUCAAAAUAAAAAACCCCUAUUGGCACAA